rnacentral:rRNA from 1 species
UUUUCAUCAGACAAUCUGUGUGAGCACUGCANNNNNNNNNNNNNNNNNNNNUUCUUUAAGGUAAGGAGGUGAUCCAACCGCAGGUUCCCCUACGGUUACCUUGUUACGACUUCACCCCAGUCAUGAAUCACAAAGUGGUAAGCGCCCUCCCGAAGGUUAAGCUACCUACUUCUUUUGCAACCCACUCCCAUGGUGUGACGGGCGGUGUGUACAAGGCCCGGGAACGUAUUCACCGUGGCAUUCUGAUCCACGAUUACUAGCGAUUCCGACUUCAUGGAGUCGAGUUGCAGACUCCAAUCCGGACUACGACGCACUUUAUGAGGUCCGCUUGCUCUCGCGAGGUCGCUUCUCUUUGUAUGCGCCAUUGUAGCACGUGUGUAGCCCUGGUCGUAAGGGCCAUGAUGACUUGACGUCAUCCCCACCUUCCUCCAGUUUAUCACUGGCAGUCUCCUUUGAGUUCCCGGCCGGACCGCUGGCAACAAAGGAUAAGGGUUGCGCUCGUUGCGGGACUUAACCCAACAUUUCACAACACGAGCUGACGACAGCCAUGCAGCACCUGUCUCACGGUUCCCGAAGGCACAUUCUCAUCUCUGAAAACUUCCGUGGAUGUCAAGACCAGGUAAGGUUCUUCGCGUUGCAUCGAAUUAAACCACAUGCUCCACCGCUUGUGCGGGCCCCCGUCAAUUCAUUUGAGUUUUAACCUUGCGGCCGUACUCCCCAGGCGGUCUACUUAACGCGUUAGCUCCGGAAGCCACGCCUCAAGGGCACAACCUCCAAGUAGACAUCGUUUACGGCGUGGACUACCAGGGUAUCUAAUCCUGUUUGCUCCCCACGCUUUCGCACCUGAGCGUCAGUCUUUGUCCAGGGGGCCGCCUUCGCCACCGGUAUUCCUCCAGAUCUCUACGCAUUUCACCGCUACACCUGGAAUUCUACCCCCCUCUACAAGACUCAAGCCUGCCAGUUUCGAAUGCAGUUCCCAGGUUGAGCCCGGGGAUUUCACAUCCGACUUGACAGACCGCCUGCGUGCGCUUUACGCCCAGUAAUUCCGAUUAACGCUUGCACCCUCCGUAUUACCGCGGCUGCUGGCACGGAGUUAGCCGGUGCUUCUUCUGCGGGUAACGUCAAUUGCUGCGGUUAUUAACCACAACACCUUCCUCCCCGCUGAAAGUACUUUACAACCCGAAGGCCUUCUUCAUACACGCGGCAUGGCUGCAUCAGGCUUGCGCCCAUUGUGCAAUAUUCCCCACUGCUGCCUCCCGUAGGAGUCUGGACCGUGUCUCAGUUCCAGUGUGGCUGGUCAUCCUCUCAGACCAGCUAGGGAUCGUCGCCUUGGUGAGCCGUUACCUCACCAACAAGCUAAUCCCAUCUGGGCACAUCUGAUGGCAAGAGGCCCGAAGGUCCCCCUCUUUGGUCUUGCGACGUUAUGCGGUAUUAGCCACCGUUUCCAGUAGUUAUCCCCCUCCAUCAGGCAGUUUCCCAGACAUUACUCNNNNNNNNNNNNNNNNNNNNCCCGUCCGCCACUCGUCAGCAAAGCAGCAAGCUGCUUCCUGUUACCGUUCGACUUGCAUGUGUUAGGCCUGCCGCCAGCGUUCAAUCUGAGCCAUGAUCAAACUCUUCAAUUUAAAAGUUUGAUGCUCAAUGAAUUAAACUUCGUAAUGAAUUACGUGUUCACUCUUGAGACUUGGUAUUCAUUUUUCGU